rnacentral:rRNA from 1 species
AGGCCCGGGAACGUAUUCACCGCAGCGUUGCUGAUCUGCGAUUACUAGCGACUCCGACUUCAUGGGGUCGAGUUGCAGACCCCAAUCCGAACUGAGACCGGCUUUUUGGGAUUCGCUCCACCUCGCGGUAUCGCAGCCCUUUGUACCGGCCAUUGUAGCAUGCGUGAAGCCCAAGACAUAAGGGGCAUGAUGAUUUGACGUCAUCCCCACCUUCCUCCGAGUUGACCCCGGCAGUCUCCCAUGAGUCCCCGGCAUAACCCGCUGGCAACAUGGGACGAGGGUUGCGCUCGUUGCGGGACUUAACCCAACAUCUCACGACACGAGCUGACGACAACCAUGCACCACCUGUACACCGACCUUGCGGAAGCCUACUUUCGUAGGAUGUCAUCUGCAGUUCAAG